rnacentral:rRNA from 1 species
AUGGGGAUGCGUCUGAUUAGCUUGUUGGCGGGGUAACGGCCCACCAAGGCGACGAUCAGUAGGGGUUCUGAGAGGAAGGUCCCCCACAUUGGAACUGAGACACGGUCCAAACUCCUACGGGAGGCAGCAGUGAGGAAUAUUGGUCAAUGGGCGAGAGCCUGAACCAGCCAAGUAGCGUGCAGGAUGACGGCCUAUGGGUUGUAAACUGCUUUUAUGCGGGGAUAGGUACCGCAUGAAUAAGGACCGGCUAAUUCCGUGCCAGCAGCCGCGGUAAUACGGAAGGUCCGGGCGUUAUCCGGAUUUAUUGGGUUUAAAGGGAGCGUAGGCCGUCUGAUAAGCGUGUUGUGAAAUGUCGGGGCUCAACCUGGGCAUUGCAGCGCGAACUGUCAGACUUGAGUGCGCGGGAAGUAGGCGGAAUUCGUCGUGUAGCGGUGAAAUGCUUAGAUAUGACGAAGAACUCCGAUUGCGAAGGCAGCCUGCUGUAGCGCAACUGACGCUGAAGCUCGAAAGCGUGGGUAUCGAACAGGAUUAGAUACCCUGGUAGUCCACGCGGUAAACGAUGGAUGUUCGCUGUUUG